rnacentral:tRNA from 1 species
GGGUCAGAAGCACAGCGGGUUGUGCGUUCGGCUGUUAACCGAAUGGUCGAAGGUUCGAAUCCUUCCUGUCCCGCCA